CAAAAAUACAUAUAUAAAAUAAAUCCAUAAAGGUGUUUAUCUUAUUUUUCUUCUUUCAAUAUAAUUUUUUUCUCCUUUUUUAUUUGCUAUUUUUUUUCUUUUCAUGAAUUUAUUGCUAUCUCUAUUGUUUACACAGGAAGAAGAAGAAGAAGAAGAAGAAAAAGAAGAGGACACACAGAGAGAGAAGAGGAGGAAGAAGAGGAAGGAUUUGUAAUAUGGCAGACAUCAAACCAAUGGAAGAAGAAGAAGAAGAAGAAGAAAAAGAAGAGGACACACAGAGAGAGAAGAGGAGGAAGAAGAAGAGGAAGGAUUUGUAAUAUGGCAGACAUCAAACCAAUGGAGCUGACCAGCCGCCCCAGAGAGCCCAGCGACCACACCCUGCAAGACAGCCUGCUCAUCCUGGGACACACACAGCCUCACCGUUCAGGCAGGAGACUGACGGAAUUGAACAGCUGAAUGGACUCCAUCUCUUGAGGGGCGGCUUCGUAUCCCAGCGUGAUCUCCUGCAAGGCAUCCCAGCACACACCACAUGCUCUGGAGGGGGAGAGAACGUCAAGAUGAAUCGGCCUUGUCUUGGAGGAAAUGUACUCUGUUUUGACUUUGCUCUCAAUAAACAUAGACCCUAAGA